UCUCUCCAUUUCUCUUCUAUUUUAGUUUAUCAAGAAAGGAGGUCAUAGGAAAUCCUUUUGGUACCUUGGCAUCAUGAGUGUGCCACCCCCAAUUUUUCAUUAUUUCUUCCUCAAGAAAGUUUGAAGCUGCAUGAUAUGACAACUUCAUAAGAGAUCCCCCCACUAUAUUAUCUACCGCAGUUUUGUUGAGGUUAUCUAGUGCCCAGCAUAAGAUUUAGAAAAGAAUCUUCUUCGGGAACCCAUAGUAAGGACAUUGAAUGUGUUUCCCAUUUAAUCUUUCCCGCACCUCAAAAAGAGGUUCUCUAUUAAAUUAAUGAAUGUUGGUGAUUUAAUCAAUCAAUUAUAACAUCUUGGAUUAUGGGAAAUAUCAGUCUAGGAAAGAAAUGGUGAGUUUAUCCCAUAAAGUAAUUGAUCCAUCCAGAAUAGAUUAAACACAUAAUACUAUUUCUCCUAUUUGAGAAAAUAGGAAGAGGAGCAAUCAGAUGGACUCUUGGGAUGUGUGUAAUAUCAAAGGGGGCACAAACUUAUACAAUAUUCUUCAAAUUAAAAAAUUGAGGUACUCAUGGACUUUCUCCAUAAGAGUCCCUUCAUUUGUACCAUAUAAAACAUGACACUCGUAAUAUGGAAUACCCCAUUCCCUUGAUUAGGUGGGAUAUGUAUGGCACUCGCAAGGACAACGUCAUGGAGUUGCUCCUUGUUAGCAAAGGGACCAUACUUAUAUUGUACUCUUAUUUAGUAACAAAAUAAGUAACCAUGCUAGAAAGCCCUCAUAUUGCUCAUAUGCUGGGCCUUGACACUAAUUCUUCUUGAAGGCAUGCUUAUUGACUACAUAGGAAGUUAUGUGUACAACUAUGCUUGAAACCUGAUGAUAAAUGUAAUACUCAUGUCAUAUAUGUCUAUCUAUUUAUGAAUUGACAUAGAAGACAAAUGAUGAGUAUUGGAGGUUUUCUUUUCUUUACUUUUCUUUUAUGUUUAUUUACCUU
rnacentral:lncRNA from 1 species